UACUUAGGGUCGGUACUUGAGGCAACACGCUCGACUAUUCUAUAAUUCUGUCUAGCAACAGUAGAAAGUCGAAUUAACCCAAUAACCCUACUGUAAUUAUACAAUUCUAUAUGGUUUACUUCGUCAUUUGGGUUUUCCUUUUAAAAACCAGGAAAUGACCGAUGUGUUGGGUGUCGAGUCCGGCUUUUUUUU
rnacentral:telomerase_RNA from 1 species